GCUCUUUCCGAGGGUGGGUUGUAAUAGGAGAUGCAGGAGUGGUCUUCAAGGGAGACAGGGGAGGUUUAAGUUGGAUCUGAGAAUGAAGUUUUUCCCCGAGAGGCUGGUGAGGCACUGGAACAGGUUGCCCAAGGAGGUUGUGGAUGCCGCAUCCCUGGAGGCAUUCAAGGCCAGGCUGGAGUUGGCACGGGGCAUUUUGGUCUAGUGGCUGGCAAUACUGCACAUAGCGGGGCGGGGGGUGGGAGGUGAAACUUGAUGGUCACUGUGGUCCUUUUCAACGCACGCCAUUGUAUGAUUCAGUGAUUCUGUGAUUCUUUAUAGGACGCAAUCUUCCACUUGGAAAGGGCCUCCCAAGGAUCCCUGGUAUCCUCUGAGAGCUCUGAGCUGCCGCACCAAUUUGAAGCUGACUUCAUUUUUGGUCUUCCCCUUCAGCAGAAAAGCUCAGACAGCCGAGCCAAGCGAGACGCUGGAUUUCCUUUGGCAUCAAGGAAAGCAUCGUGAGAUGUUCUGAUGCCCUCUCACAAUUCUUUCUCCCUCCGCCAGCACCAGAGCUGGCGUCCAAAGACGCAAUGACACUGCCACAGGCAUUGUGGAGAUUUCUAUGGGAUAGGGCCAUGGUAAGGCUUUAUUGACAGAGGGAGGGACAAUGAAGAUUGGAUGUCAGGGAGAAGGUCUUUCCAGAGACGAUGGUGUGAUGCUGGAAGUGGAUGCCCAGAGAGCUUGUGGACGCCGCGUCCGUGGCAGUGUUGAAGGCCAGGUUAGAUGGGGCCCUGGGCAGCCUGGUGUAGGAUUAGAUAUGAUGCAGAUGGGAUUCAAGCAUCUGUUUUGCAGCCAGCUCGAGUGGAGGUCUUGGAGCUCAUGGGCGCCCCAUGCCCGCAUCAGCGUGGGUAGGGUGUGCCCUUCCUGCGCGGUGGGGCUUUGGUGUCCGGGGGCUGACGCUGAGGAGACUGUGUUUCUUCGUUUAUCGGUGGCAGAAAUCCAGCUCUGUCGGCAGAGGACUCCUGCGGCUGGCUGGCCUCAGCCUGAGAUGUUGAUGCUUCCAUCUCCUCAGGUUCUUUCUGCCUGCUCUUCUUAGCCCUGCGCCUGAGAAGUCUGACUGAGUCGCAUGCCAGAAGUGGAAGCCGGGAUGGAGUGCCUUGCGAUGCCUGUGACGGGCUGGACUGAGCCCUUGAGGAAG
rnacentral:lncRNA from 1 species